rnacentral:rRNA from 1 species
UCCUCCCUCUUUCUUCGUGCUUAACACAUGCAAGUCGAACGGAAAGGCCCUGCUUGCCGGGUACUCGAGUGGCGAACGGGUGAGUAACACGUGGGUGAUCUGCCCUGCACUUCGGGAUAAGCCUGGGAAACUGGGUCUAAUACCGGAUAGGAGCCAUUUUUAGUGUGAUGGUUGGAAAGUUUUUUCGGUGUAGGAUGAGCUCGCGGCCUAUCAGCUUGUUGGUGGGGUAAUGGCCUACCAAGGCGGCGACGGGUAGCCGGCCUGAGAGGGUGGACGGCCACAUUGGGACUGAGAUACGGCCCAGACUCCUACGGGAGGCAGCAGUGGGGAAUAUUGCACAAUGGGCGCAAGCCUGAUGCAGCGACGCCGCGUGGGGGAUGACGGCCUUCGGGUUGUAAACUCCUUUCGCUAGGGACGAAGCUUUUUGUGACGGUACCUAGAUAAGAAGCACCGGCUAACUACGUG